GUUAUGAAUAAAACAUAUAAACUCUUAGAGAAAUUAAAUAAUAAACGAAGGCGAAUUGAAAUAUCUUAGUAGCUUCAGGAAAAGAAAUCAAACGAGAUUCUACAAUUAGUGUGAAUGAAAGUAGAGUAGCCUAUAUACCGAAAGUAUAUAAAUAAGUAAAAUGGAUACAAAUCUGUUUAAAUAUUAAGGGGAACCUUCCUCUAAGGCUAAAUAUAAUACAUAAGCGACAGUGAAUAAGUACCGUGAGGGAAC
rnacentral:ncRNA from 1 species